rnacentral:piRNA from 1 species
CAAGAACGGAAAGCUUACGUCUACACGGC